UCUAUCUCAAAAAAAAAAAAAAAAAAAAUUAUUGCUAUUUUAAACAAUUAAUUUUUACAGAUUUAUUUUUUAAUUAACAAAAUUCUUUAUAUUUACGGUGUAUAACAUGAUCUUGUCGUAUAUGGAUACAUUAUGAAAUGGCUGAAUCAAGCUAAGUAAUAUAUGCAUUACCUCAUAUACUUAUCAUUGUGUGUGCCUGCUGAGCACAUUUAACAUCUGCUUUCUUGGCAAUUUGUAAAUAUACAAAACAUUGUUAUUAACUACAAUCACCCUAUUGUACUAUAGGUAUCUUGAACUUAUUCUUCCUACCUAACUGAAUUUUUUUAUUCUUUGACCAAUAUCUCCUUGAUCCUUCCCAGCCCCAGCCCCUAGUAACCACCAUUCUGCUCUUAACUUCUAGGAGUUCAACUUUUUAAGGUUCCACAUAUGAAUGAGAUCAUGUGAUAUUUUACUUAAUGACCUCCAUGUUCAUCCAUGUUGUCACAAAUGACAGAAUUGUCUUUUUUUUUUUUAAGGCUGAUUGAUUUUUGACAAGGCUGUGAACACAAUGGGAAAAGAACAGUCUCUUCAAAAAAAUGGUGUAAGAAUGUUGCGCAAUGUUAAUAUGCUUAUGGGAAUGAUCCAAAAAUUAAUGAUACAAAAAUUAAUAAUGUAGGAUUGAGAGGUGACAACUACCUGAGUGAAAACCUUGAGACUGUAAGGAAGACAGGAUCUAAUACAAAGGUGGAAGAGUUGAACUUAAAUAAGAGCAUGCACAGCUCAUUCCCAGUAAUGGGAAGGAAUAGAGUGCACAGGUACAGAUGUAGGUAAACUUGGGAGAUGUGGUGAUGGGAACUUUAACUCCUGAAAUACUAACCUAUACUCUCUCAGAGUCUAAAUUUUUAGUCUACUGAAUUCAGCAAUACAGUGAAGUUUAGUAGACCAAAUUAUCCAAAAGUGUUGAAGGAAACUUAUAUGUGAUGGAGACAUUUUUACUUCUUACUUUUAAUUUUGACCGCCCUGGGAAAAACUGUUGGACCCAUAUAAAAUUAAAAUCUUUAGUGAAACACAUUCUUUUAUAGGUAUAUUUUAAAGUUUUAACUUCUGAGAUAAUAUCACAGUUUUCAAAACACUAAGACAUGUUUUUAUUGUUAGCUAAUUGUCAGGCUUCAGCUGAAGCACACCGUAAGGCCUGCAUGAACUUCAGCUGUCCAUAAUGCG
rnacentral:lncRNA from 1 species